CGCAUUGGGGGCAUGCUUACCAUGCAGUCGAACGGCAGCACGGGUGCUUGCACCUGGUGGCGAGUGGCGAACGGGUGAGUAAUACAUCGGAACAUGUCCUGUAGUGGGGGAUAGCCCGGCGAAAGCCGGAUUAAUACCGCAUACGAUCUACGGAUGAAAGCGGGGGACCUUCGGGCCUCGCGCUAUAGGGUUGGCCGAUGGCUGAUUAGCUAGUUGGUGGGGUAAAGGCCUACCAAGGCGACGAUCAGUAGCUGGUCUGAGAGGACGACCAGCCACACUGGGACUGAGACACGGCCCAGACUCCUACGGGAGGCAGCAGUGGGGAAUUUUGGACAAUGGGCGAAAGCCUGAUCCAGCAAUGCCGCGUGUGUGAAGAAGGCCUUCGGGUUGUAAAGCACUUUUGUCCGGAAAGAAAUCCUUGGCUCUAAUACAGUCGGGGGAUGACGGUACCGGAAGAAUAAG
rnacentral:rRNA from 1 species